GGGUUGUGAGGUUAAGCGACUAAGCGUACACGGUGGAUGCCCUGGCAGUCAGAGGCGAUGAAGGACGUGCUAAUCUGCGAUAAGCGUCGGUAAGGUGAUAUGAACCGUUAUAACCGGCGAUUUCCGAAUGGGGAAACCCAGUGUGUUUCGACACACUAUCAUUAACUGAAUCCAUAGGUUAAUGAGGCGAACCGGGGGAACUGAAACAUCUAAGUACCCCGAGGAAAAGAAAUCAACCGAGAUUCCCCCAGUAGCGGCGAGCGAACGGGGAGCAGCCCAGAGCCUGAAUCAGUGUGUGUGUUAGUGGAAGCGUCUGGAAAGGCGCGCGAUACAGGGUGACAGCCCCGUACACAAAAAUGCACAUAUUGUGAGCUCGAUGAGUAGGGCGGGACACGUGGUAUCCUGUCUGAAUAUGGGGGGACCAUCCUCCAAGGCUAAAUACUCCUGACUGACCGAUAGUGAACCAGUACCGUGAGGGAAAGGCGAAAAGAACCCCGGCGAGGGGAGUGAAAAAGAACCUGAAACCGUGUACGUACAAGCAGUGGGAGCCUCUUUUAUGGGGUGACUGCGUACCUUUUGUAUAAUGGGUCAGCGACUUAUAUUCUGUAGCAAGGUUAACCGAAUAGGGGAGCCGAAGGGAAACCGAGUCUUAACUGGGCGUUAAGUUGCAGGGUAUAGACCCGAAACCCGGUGAUCUAGCCAUGGGCAGGUUGAAGGUUGGGUAACACUAACUGGAGGACCGAACCGACUAAUGUUGAAAAAUUAGCGGAUGACUUGUGGCUGGGGGUGAAAGGCCAAUCAAACCGGGAGAUAGCUGGUUCUCCCCGAAAGCUAUUUAGGUAGCGCCUCGUGAAUUCAUCUCCGGGGGUAGAGCACUGUUUCGGCAAGGGGGUCAUCCCGACUUACCAACCCGAUGCAAACUGCGAAUACCGGAGAAUGUUAUCACGGGAGACACACGGCGGGUGCUAACGUCCGUCGUGAAGAGGGAAACAACCCAGACCGCCAGCUAAGGUCCCAAAGUCAUGGUUAAGUGGGAAACGAUGUGGGAAGGCCCAGACAGCCAGGAUGUUGGCUUAGAAGCAGCCAUCAUUUAAAGAAAGCGUAAUAGCUCACUGGUCGAGUCGGCCUGCGCGGAAGAUGUAACGGGGCUAAACCAUGCACCGAAGCUGCGGCAGCGACACUAUGUGUUGUUGGGUAGGGGAGCGUUCUGUAAGCCUGCGAAGGUGUGCUGUGAGGCAUGCUGGAGGUAUCAGAAGUGCGAAUGCUGACAUAAGUAACGAUAAAGCGGGUGAAAAGCCCGCUCGCCGGAAGACCAAGGGUUCCUGUCCAACGUUAAUCGGGGCAGGGUGAGUCGACCCCUAAGGCGAGGCCGAAAGGCGUAGUCGAUGGGAAACAGGUUAAUAUUCCUGUACUUGGUGUUACUGCGAAGGGGGGACGGAGAAGGCUAUGUUGGCCGGGCGACGGUUGUCCCGGUUUAAGCGUGUAGGCUGGUUUUCCAGGCAAAUCCGGAAAAUCAAGGCUGAGGCGUGAUGACGAGGCACUACGGUGCUGAAGCAACAAAUGCCCUGCUUCCAGGAAAAGCCUCUAAGCAUCAGGUAACAUUAAAUCGUACCCCAAACCGACACAGGUGGUCAGGUAGAGAAUACCAAGGCGCUUGAGAGAACUCGGGUGAAGGAACUAGGCAAAAUGGUGCCGUAACUUCGGGAGAAGGCACGCUGAUAUGUAGGUGAAGUCCCUCGCGGAUGGAGCUGAAAUCAGUCGAAGAUACCAGCUGGCUGCAACUGUUUAUUAAAAACACAGCACUGUGCAAACACGAAAGUGGACGUAUACGGUGUGACGCCUGCCCGGUGCCGGAAGGUUAAUUGAUGGGGUUAGCGGUAACGCGAAGCUCUUGAUCGAAGCCCCGGUAAACGGCGGCCGUAACUAUAACGGUCCUAAGGUAGCGAAAUUCCUUGUCGGGUAAGUUCCGACCUGCACGAAUGGCGUAAUGAUGGCCAGGCUGUCUCCACCCGAGACUCAGUGAAAUUGAACUCGCUGUGAAGAUGCAGUGUACCCGCGGCAAGACGGAAAGACCCCGUGAACCUUUACUAUAGCUUGACACUGAACAUUGAGCCUUGAUGUGUAGGAUAGGUGGGAGGCUUAGAAGUGUGGACGCCAGUCUGCAUGGAGCCGACCUUGAAAUACCACCCUUUAAUGUUUGAUGUUCUAACGUGGACCCGUGAUCCGGGUUGCGGACAGUGUCUGGUGGGUAGUUUGACUGGGGCGGUCUCCUCCUAAAGAGUAACGGAGGAGCACGAAGGUUGGCUAAUCCUGGUCGGACAUCAGGAGGUUAGUGCAAUGGCAUAAGCCAGCUUGACUGCGAGCGUGACGGCGCGAGCAGGUGCGAAAGCAGGUCAUAGUGAUCCGGUGGUUCUGAAUGGAAGGGCCAUCGCUCAACGGAUAAAAGGUACUCCGGGGAUAACAGGCUGAUACCGCCCAAGAGUUCAUAUCGACGGCGGUGUUUGGCACCUCGAUGUCGGCUCAUCACAUCCUGGGGCUGAAGUAGGUCCCAAGGGUAUGGCUGUUCGCCAUUUAAAGUGGUACGCGAGCUGGGUUUAGAACGUCGUGAGACAGUUCGGUCCCUAUCUGCCGUGGGCGCUGGAGAACUGAGGGGGGCUGCUCCUAGUACGAGAGGACCGGAGUGGACGCAUCACUGGUGUUCGGGUUGUCAUGCCAAUGGCACUGCCCGGUAGCUAAAUGCGGAAGAGAUAAGUGCUGAAAGCAUCUAAGCACGAAACUUGCCCCGAGAUGAGUUCUCCCUGACUCCUUGAGAGUCCUGAAGGAACGUUGAAGACGACGACGUUGAUAGGCCGGGUGUGUAAGCGCAGCGAUGCGUUGAGCUAACCGGUACUAAUGAACCGUGAGGCUUAACCUUACAACGCCGAAG
rnacentral:rRNA from 1 species